rnacentral:rRNA from 1 species
UACGGGGGGGGUAAGCGUUGUUCGGAAUUACUGGGCGUAAAGGGCUCGUAGGCGGCCAACUAAGUCAGACGUGAAAUCCCUCAGCUUAACUGGGGAACUGCGUGUGAUACUGGAUGGCUUGGAUUUGGGAGAGGGAUGCGGAAUUCCAGGUGUAGCGGUGAAAUGCGUAGAUAUCUGGAGGAACACCGGUGGCGAAGGCGGCAUCCUGGACCAAUAUUGACGCUGAGGAGCGAAAGCUAGGGGAGCAAACGGG